UUUUUCCGGCCGCCUCUUUCUUCUUGCGUUUUCUUUCUUCCCUCCUUUCUUUCGGAAGGGGCGUCCUCUUCCGAUUCCUCGCUCGCGGCUGCUAUCCCUGUUCUCGCCGCCCGUCCUGGGGUGCGCUGCUGCCCCCACUGGCCGCUGGUCUUUUCCCUCGAUUUGCCGGUGUGCGCUGCAGGUUCGUUCCCCUUUUCGCCUCUUGGUGUGCUCCUCCGCUGGGGCGGUGGCCUGGGCUGCUGCUCGCCGUUCUUUCGAAGGGCCCAGUGCUUGCUGGAUGGCGGUCCGUGAUGCCCCCUCGAUGGGCUCUUUUUUGUGUGUGAUUCUGGUUGGAGUUUGCCCUGCGUGGCUCUGUCCGUUCUGAUUCAGGUUGUGUUGGUGGGGACUGUCCGUCCGUUCUAGUCGCCUCCGUCUGUCUGUGCGCUUCCUCUGUUGAUUGCUGCCCGCGAGGUUCGUGCUUCUGCCUUUAUCUAAUUUCUGCUGUUGGGGCGUUCUGAAGUUUGUUGUGCGGUGCGCUGUGAUUUUUGUUCUCUUUUGUCGAUGUACAUUCACGAGCUCAAGGGCGCAAAGGAUCCAGAGGAAGAACAGUUGUUGAAGGCCAAUAUCCUAGGACAAGAUGCAUAGCAGCAGUGGAUAAAGCUUCAGUUUGGGGUCGACAAGCCUUCGUCUUCCAUCGACUGCCUGUCAAUCAACCAUUCGCUCGAGUGCUGUAAAAUGAGUGAAUUCCUUUUUUUACCCCCUACUUUCACUUCUUUGACGCAAAUUACCCCGUUCAGUGAGAUUUCUACAAUUUUACCCCAUUUAGUGAAACCUUUGCCACUUAUUACCCCAGCUAAUAAUUUCCCCUGUUUUAUCCGAAUUAUGACAACUUGGUUCCGCACGUCAUAGGCGUUCCUAGGUAUCUGUCGUGCGGCUGAUAUGAAACGGAUGCCCUUGAGACGCAAUUGGCGCCGGAACCCGACUGGUUUAGCUGACGCUACUCGCAGGCGGCCAUGGCCACCUCCCGCUGCAGCUGCAGCUCGGUAGCCGCCUGCAUGCACGUAGAGGACAGCAGCGGGAGGAAGCGUAGUAGAGGCUGGGAGGCCAUGUGCAUGCCGACCAGGUUGCUUCUAAUUCUAAAUAGGGGGACUUGCGUGAGCAUAUACACCACUCGAAGGAAGUCGUAACAGGGGCAAAAACAUUGCACACUACUAUGCUCUCCACUAAAUGGAUAUGCAUCUUGUUGAUGAGUUCUACUCCUACUUUAGCUAAGUUGUACCAGUGGACAAAAGUAAUUGGAGAUAGAGCAGGCAGCUGCAGCGGGAGGUGGCCAUGGCCGCCCGCGAGCGGUGCUGAGUCAGGCUGUCUGACUGAACCUGUCACGUUCCGGCGCCAAGCGCGGGCUCAAGGGCCUCCACAGUUCAUCAACCACACGACGGAUGCCUAGGAAUGUCACUAACGUGUAGGCCCAAACUGUCAUGAUGAGGAAAACAGGAAAAAAAAAUAGAUGAGGUAAAAAGUGGCAAAAGUUUCACUAAAUGGGGUAAAAUGACGAAAUCUCCACUAAAUGGGGCAAUUCGUGUCACAAAAAUUAAACUAGGGGGUAAAAAAAGGAAUUUACUCUUAGAACAGAUAUAAUGACCGGUCUUACUUGGUUUUUCGUGAGUUGGCUACAUAUCUUUUAAUCUAAGAUAAGAGAUGUGGGAUUUUUGCAUGGACACAAUAGUGAGUUAAUAUUGGUGGUAUUCUGGAUGCAGAGUAUGCUCUCCACAACCUGAUUGUUUUUUGUUUUCUCUUAUUGACAAUGGUUUACAUAAUUCUUGGUCAGACACCAGCGGCCAUAGGGCGCUGACGGCCGCUACCAGCAAAGUCCACCCCUUCUUACCAAGCGCAUGUUGAUUUGUGAGACUGCGAUGUGCCUAUCUUGCUUGUUUUAGCUUUCAGCAGUCACACCAUCAGGUUUGGUCAUGCUUGCCCUCCAUCUUAGAUGUGUAUGCAGAUAAGUUGCUUGAUGAAUUUACCAGGAGAAAAUUGUCCUCUUUUUUUCCAUUCACUGCUACAACAUAGCAUCGACUUUCACGGAGUGAGCUCUAAAAGGAGUUGCUAGGCUACUACCUCUGACAGGCAAUUUGUGUAUCUUAUGAACUUUUGGUUGUUUAGGCAGCAGGCAUCCAGACUCCACUAGAUUUGCCUCGAUGCUACAGGCGCUGAUGUUCUGAACUUUUGAUUAAAUUUGUGAUUGAUUAGAUGGUGAUGAAAUAAAGUUCUGAACUUUUGAUUAAAUUUGUGAUUGAUUAGAUGGAGAUGAAAUCAGUGAUAUGUAAGACUCUUAUAACUUCGUAAUAAAAUAUGAUUGUGUGCAUCGCUUGAUGCAGAGGCCAGAGACUAUUUCCCUUUUCGAAAAAAGAAAAAAAAAGAUGGAGAUGAAAUAAACCAGUCCUAGACAAGAGUUGUAAACGUAGGUAAACAUGCUAUGUUUCUUUAACUAGCAUGGUACUAAUUUUUUGUGCAAAUUAAGUAGUACAGAUAUAAAUAUAUUAUCCUAUAAUUUUUAAGUGCAUUUUGCUUGUACCUUCCCUUACAGUGUCUUCUGUUCUGCCAGAGCCUUCUUAAUUUGACAUGCUAAAACUAUUAUUAUUAGCAUGAACGCUGAUUUUUGGAGCAUGUUUUCAUGGAUGAUUAAUAAUGUUUUUCCUGCAAGUAUGCAAACAAGAAGUUAAAAACGUAAAAUGGAGAGGUGGUGCUCCAUUAUUUGGAGUAAGAUUUUGUCUGUACAGACAUACUUUAUUCAAUUAGCUAUUUUUAGCCACAUAUUAUGGCCAUUAGUUAAAUUAGUAUUUCUUGCAAGGAGAUCUAGAAAUUCCACUUGAUUUCUACCAGGUACUGAUGUGAGUACCUCUCUGUUCUGCACUCAUUGUUCAGCUCUUUAAUUUUUUAUAGGUAUAGAUCGACAAUUUGCUAAGGUGAAUAGCACAACAAAGGAUGUUGUAUUGGUGUGUUCUUCUAACCUACAGAUCGGAAUGUACUAAAUGGUCCUACCAUGGUGGCUUGGAUUACCUAUGCCUUUCCCGUGGAGCUUUAAUUUGGUGCUCUGAGAGGAUUGGACGGGGUUCUUCUGGUGGCUGUCUUGUUGUUUUUGCAUAGGCUUCUCUCUCUCAGAAUAUAAUGCAGUGAGUGUUGUAACAGGGGAAAGUAAACAAGCAUUGGAGUGAGAAGAUACCGGAAUUGGCCACGAUAAAGAGAAUCUGUCUGCAAUAAAGAUUGCAGAGGUGUUUCAGGUGGCAGAUAUAAAUUGCUUGUCACAAAUUGAGUGUUCGGAAGUGAAACUUUGACUUGGAUGACUGAACAAGUGACAACUUUGCCUAAUUUGUUUGUUUUGAAUUUAGUUUUUGAGAUACUUCUUUUCUAUGUUCAAGUAUUUAGGAUCUUCCAAACAACUGCAUGAGAACCAAAGUUGUUUUUUUGGUAGCGAACAGAGCAGUUGUAGAAAUUUUAUGUUUCUCGAAUUUUCGGAUUUAAGCUUCCCAAAAUCUUGCCUGUCUUAUUGUGCUUCUCUGUAUGCAUAUGCAGCCAUCAACUUGCAGGGCUUGGUGUC